GAGCCAAACAGCUAGCCUCACAGAGAAAAGCCAACAAAUAACCAUUAAUAACCCCUAAUGUAAUAAAACGGAUCAAGCAAACCAUUUUUCCCCUUUAGUAUAGGCGAUAGAAAAAGAAUUAUAGAGCAAUAGAGAAAGUACCGCAAGGGACUGCUGAAAGAGAAAUGAAAUAACUCAGUUAAGCCUAAUAAAGCAGAGAUUUAGACUCGUACCUUUUGCAUCAUGACUUAGCUAGUGUAACCUAAGCAAAGCGCACUUUAGUUUAUUACCCGAAACUAAGUGAGCUACUCCAAGACAGCCUAUUUGAUAGGGCCAACCCGUCUCUGUGGCAAAAGAGUGGGAAGAACUUUGAGUAGAGGUGAUAUACCUAUCGAACUUAGUUAUAGCUGGUUGCCUAAGAUUUGAAUAGAAGUUCAGCCCCUUUUAUUCUUCAUUUACACCAGUUUUACUUUAUUAAACGCAAAGAAUCUUAGGGUGUUAUUCAAAAGGGGUACAGCCCUUUUGAAACAAGAUACAACUUUUGCAGGCGGAUAAAGAUCAUA
rnacentral:rRNA from 1 species